CAAAGUGUAGCUUAAACCCAAAGCAUCCGGCCUACACCCGAAAGACUUCACGAUUGACGUGACCACUUUGA
rnacentral:tRNA from 1 species